rnacentral:tRNA from 13 species
UGACACGGACGUGACUUGAACACACAGCCUUCUGAUCUGGAGUCAGACGCGCCACCGUUGCGCCACCGAGUC